CUUAGGACCGUUAUAGUUACGGCCGCCGUUUACUGGGGCUUCGGUUCAAAGCUUCGCUUGCGCUAACCUCUCCCCUUAACCUUCCAGCACCGGGCAGGUGUCAGCCCCUAUACUUCGCCUUGCGGCUUCGCAGAGACCUGUGUUUUUGCUAAACAGUCGCCUGGGCCUAUUCACUGCGGCUUUUCCGGGCUAUUCACCCUAAAAAGCACCCCUUCUCCCGAAGUUACGGGGUCAUUUUGCCGAGUUCCUUAACGAGAGUUCUCUCGCACACCUUAGGAUUCUCUCCUCGCCUACCUGUGUCGGUU
rnacentral:rRNA from 1 species